UCGAGCUCAGGCUCGUUUGCACCCCCUAUAUAUAAUAAUUUAAACUAGUGGGUAUCCCCGCGCUUCGCGGCGGGCUUUCAGUCGGUCGAAAACGUAUAUACCCAAAAAUUUCUAUAUGAAAACUAUAUAUAUAACACUAUCGAGCGAAAAGUUCGGGGGGUCGGGCGCCCCUCCAUGCCUCUUGUAUACUUUGCCCCUGUCUGUCUUUCACAAAAUUUUAAAAUAUACUUUUUUAAUAACACUAUAAAUAUAAAAGUAAUGUUGGAGAGAAUCUAUAUAUACUUAAAAAUUUAGUUAUAUGAACUAUUUUACAACCUUCAUUAAUGAGGCUCUUAAAUACAUUUGUGUACAAGAUUGUAAUUUUACUAUAUUUACAAGUUACGAAGCACCAUGUACAAGGAUGUGUAAGCUAUUUAAUCCAAAAUUUUAAGACACCGAAGGGUAAUUUGCCAUCUUCUUCUAGAACCCUAAUAGUAAAGACACGCCGCUUCACUUCAUCUUCCCCCUAACCCCUCCAAUCCCAUAAAAUCCACCACACCCUACAUAGCUUCUCUGAAACACCCUAAUUCCCAAUAAACUCAUUUCCAUUUCAUCUCCAUCUUCAAUUAACGAAUCAAAAUCCAGUGCGAUGUCAUCGGAGAUUGAGGUGGUGACGAUUAAUGUCCAGUUUUACCAGAUCAACCAACGAGUACAGAGCCAUCAAGAACAGGCUAUUCACAAAAAUCCAUGGAGAAACAAACGAAUGUGAGGAAUGAAGUUCGAUUUUUAUCCGUCAAGGUACGUUUUGUUGAAGCCGGAUCAUCACAUGCUGUUUCCAGAGUUGAACUACAGGUUUAGUUCUGAUUCCUGAAUGUGUAACUUGAAAUGAUUGCUUCACCAUCAUCUUCAAUCGUCGGUUUCCACAGAAAACGACGACUGAUGGAUUCUAGGCGACGACGAUGAACACCUGGCGGCGAUGGUGGAUCGAUUUAGUGACGAACUUGGUUAUGGUGGUGAAUGGAAACAACGGUGGAUUGAACACCGACGGUGACGGCGAAAUAGGAUUCCCACGGGUAUUUUGGUGACCGAAGAUUAUGUUUCUUGAUUGAAUGAUGAAAAUAGUUUGUUGAAGGAAAAACUUGAUGCAGCAAAUAACUAAUUUGGAUCUAAGGUAG